UACUGGCUGGGCGCGGUGGCUCACGCCUGUAAUCCCAGCACUUUGGGAGUGAGGCCAAGGUGGGUGGAUCAUUUGAGGUCAGCAGUUGGAGACCAGUCUGGCCAACAUAGUGAAACCGCGUCUCUACUAAAAAUACAAAAAUUUGCCAGGAGCCUGAGGCAGGACAAUCGCUUGAACCCGGGAGGUGCAGAUUGCAGAGAGCCGAGAUCGCGCCACUGCACUCCAGCCUGGGCGACAGAGUGAGUCUCUGUCUCAAAAAAAAAAAAAAAAAGUACUCAUAUCUCUUUUUCUGUAACUUUUAAAAUCCACUCCCAAAUACGUCUUGGGGGAACUUCCUAUGUCAGUAUAGCAUGGUAGUCCAUAACUGGAUUCUUCAAUAACAGUAAAUCUAGCUAUUUCCCCCAGCGGAAUGGGAAUUGUGUCCAACAUUUCAAACAUCUGGAAAAGUAUCAUCUAUACGCAGUGUAAUGUUUACAGCGAAUUCUGCCACUGCUCGCUGAUUUUAAACACAUUACCCUGUGUCUCAGUUUUUUAUUUGUAAAUGAUAUUUUACCACCUAAUUUACAGGGCUGUAGUGAGGAUUACAUCGAUUGACAUAUUUAUGGCAAGCUCUCAGAGAGUCUUGUACCUAAUACCAUUAUUUGCUCUGAUCCUUUAGUUUAGGCUCCUAGGAGACUUGAUUCUGGCUGACGUGCUGCGACUGUCAUCUUUCAGAUCAGAGUAACUCUGAGUCUGGUGGGAGUGUCUUCCCCCGACACCCCGUAUACCUCCGCUUUAAGAUGAGAGAAUCUUCUGUCGGUGCUAGCGUUCAGCGGCUAACGGAGGAGGCUUGACUCAACCUGCCGGACACUAAAGGACAUCACUCUGAGCCUGAGGGAGGGGCUCUCCUUUGGUCUCCCUCUUUUGUCCAGCCUUGCCCCAGGAUAUUUUUCUAAGCUGAGUUAGCCACUAGGCACUCCACAUCGCUGCCCGCAUCACCACGCUGCGGCAUCUGCUGUUGCAUCUGCGAUCCACAAGGCCUACACCAUUCGCCAUCGCACCUGGCUGUUUGUUGCAGAUAUUUCUCAGACCUCCUGCUUGAAGCCUGAAGUGUUCCAAGCAUAGAGAUGAUGGACGUGGUAUGGGACAAUCAGUGCACCCGCAGGAGGGGACGGCGGGAACCAAGAUUGGAAGGAACAUGUAGGUAUACUCACAGGUCCAGGGAGGGGUCUCACCAAAUGCCAUGAAGGGCCAUAGGGGAGUGCCAGGUUUGGUCAGGUGGCAGAAGCCUGAGCCAGAGCCUGCACUGGGGUUUCUUUUCUAUAUUUAUUUAUUUAUUUAUUUAUUUAUAUUUAUCUUUUUGAAAUGGAGUUUCACUUUGUUGCCCAGGCUGGAGUGAAGUGGUGCGAUCUCUGUUCACUGCAACCGCCACCUCCCAGGUUCACGCCAUUCUCCUGCCUCAGCCUCCCGAGUAGCUGGGACUACAGGCGCCCGACACCACGCCUGGCUAAUUUUUUUUUUUUUUGUAUUUUUAGUAGAGACAGGGUUUCACCAUGUUGGCCAGGUUCAUCUUGAACUCCUGAUCUUAGGUGAUACACCCACCUUGGCCUCCCAAAGUGCUGGGACUAAAGACAUCCUCCUGGUUGAGCUCUUUGGUGUCCUGAGGAUUGGCUACCCCUGGGAGGGGGAGUUUCUUUCAGGCCAGCAAGCUUUGUAAGAUGUCAAAGCAUCAUAAAUACAGAAAAUUUUAAAAACGUAAUACAUAUAGCUUCUGUUCCUUCCACCCAGAACACUCUUCUGACCCUGGACCCCGUCCCUGCUUCACCUGACUUUCUCUUUUUUUUUUUUUUGAGAUGGAGUCUCACCCUGUCUCCCAGGCUGGAGUGCAAGGGUGCGAUCUCGGCUCACUGCAACCUUCGCCUCCCGGGUUCAAACAAUUCUCCUUCCUCAGCCUCCUGAGUAGCUGGGAUUACAGGCAUGCACCACCACGCCUGGCUAAUUUUUUUGUAUUUAGUAGAGAUGGGGUUUCACCAUGUUGGUCAGGCUGUUCUCAAACUCCUGACCUCGUGAUCUGCCCACCUUGGCCUCCCAAAGUGCUGGGAUUACAGGUGUGAGCUACCGCGCCCAGCCUCUUCACCUGACUUUCUGAUACUCAUCCCUCAAGUGUCUGAUGAAAUAUGGCUUGCUGUGGCUGGGCGCAGGAGGCGCCAAUGUGGCUUGAACCCGGGAGGUGGAGGCUGCAGCGAGCCAAGAUCACCUCACUGCACUCCAGCCUGGGCGACAGAGCAAGACUCUGUCUCAAAAGAUAUAUAUAUAGGGCCAGGCGCAGUGGCUCACGCCUGUAAUCCCAGCACUUUGGGAGGUCAAGGUGGGCAGAUCACCUGAGAUCGGG
rnacentral:lncRNA from 10 species